UUAAAGUUGUUGCAGUUAAAAAGCUCGUAGUUGAAACUUGGGCCUGGCUGGCCGGUCCGCCUCACCGCGUGCACUGGUCCGGCCGGGUCUUUCCUCCUGGCUAGCCCCAUGCCCUUCACUGGGUGUGUGGGUGAACCAGGACUUUUACUUUGAAAAAAUUAGAGUGUUCAAAGCAGGCAUAUGCUCGAAUACAUUAGCAUGGAAUAAUA
rnacentral:rRNA from 1 species